rnacentral:rRNA from 1 species
ACGAAGGUGGCAAGCGUUGUUCGGAUUUACUGGGCGUAAAGGGAGCGUGGGCGGUCUGGUAAGCCCUCCGGGAAAUCUCCCGGCCUAACCGGGAAAGGUCGGAGGGGACUGCUUGACUAGAGGGCGGGAGAGGAGCGCGGAAUUCCCGGUGUAGCGGUGAAAUGCGUAGAGAUCGGGAGGAAGGCCGAUGGCGAAGGCGGCGCUCUGGAACGAUCCUGACGCUGAGGCUCGAAAGCGUGGGGAGCAAACAGGA